rnacentral:rRNA from 1 species
UACCUGUGAAGAUGCAGGUUACCCGCGACAGGACGGAAAGACCCCGUGGAGCUUUACUGUAGCCUGAUAUUGAAUUUUGGUACAACUUGUACAGGAUAGGUAGGAGCCAGAGAUCUCGGAGCGCCAGCUUCGAAGGAGGCGUCGGUGGGAUACUACCCUGGUUGUAUUGAAAUUCUAACCCAUGCCCCUUAGCGGGGCAGGAGACAGUGUCAGGCGGACAGUUUGACUGGGGCGGUCGCCUCCUAAAAGGUAACGGAGGCGCCCAAAGGUUCCCUCAGAA